CAGUCGAACGGAUAUCUUCGGAUAUGAGUGGCGAACGGGUGAGUAACACGUAUGUAACCUGCCUGCAUGAGCGGGAGAACUUCUGGAAACGGAAGCUGAUACCGGAUGAGCAAAGAGGAGGCAUCUUCUUUUUGGAAAAGGGGACAAGAGUCCCGCAUGCAGAUGGACCUGCGGUGCAUUAGCUGGUUGGAGAGGUAACGGCUCACCAAGGCGACGAUGCAUAGCCGGCCUGAGAGGGCGGACGGCCACACUGGGACUGAGACACGGCCCAGACUCCUGCGGGAGGCAGCAGUAGGGAAUUUUCGUCAAUGGGGGGAACCCUGAACGAGCAAUGCCGCGUGAGCGAGGAAGGUCUUCGGAUCGUAAAGCUCUGUUGCCGGGGACAAAAGGCAGAAAGAGUGGAAAGCUUUCUGAGUGAUGGUACCCGGCGAGGAAGUCACGGCUAACUACGUGCCAGCAGCCGCGGUAAUACGUAGGUGGCGAGCGUUAUCCGGAAUGAUUGGGCGUAAAGGGUGCGCAGGCGGCCGGGCAAGUCCGCAGUAAAAACUGGAGGCUCAACCUUCAGGGGCUGCGGAAACUGUCCGGCUGGAGAGCAGGAGAGGACGGUGGAACUCCAUGUGUAGCGGUAAAAUGCGUAGAUAUAUGGAAGAACACCGGUGGCGAAGGCGGCCGUCUGGCCUGCAUCUGACGCUGAGGCACGAAAGCGUGGGGAGCAAAUAGGAUUAGAUACCCUAGUAGUCCACGCUGUAAACGAUGAGGA
rnacentral:rRNA from 1 species